rnacentral:SRP_RNA from 1 species
UCGCACAACCGGGGCGGUAGCGGUGCCCUGUACUUGCAAUCCGCUAUAGCAAGGGUUAUAUCCUUUUUGAGGGUAUUUCUGUUUUGGAAAGUGCCGGUCAAGUGGCGUUGACGAUUGGGUCUUGCGCAAUACAUUCCUGUGAACCUGGUCAGGUGAGGAAUCAAGCAGCCAUAAGCAGUUUUAUGUAUGUGCCGCGAGAGUGCCCGGUCUGAGUUAACUAAUCGGUAACACCAUGGCAGAGUAUUCGAUUUUAGGAUGUGCGA